rnacentral:rRNA from 1 species
UACGAAGGGGGCGAGCGUUGUUCGGAUUUACUGGGCGUAAAGGGCGGGUAGGCGGCCACCGCAAGUCAGUUGUGAAAUCUCUGGGCUUAACCCAGAAAGGUCAACUGAUACUGCGGGGCUAGAGUGCAGAAGGGGCAACUGGAAUUCUCGGUGUAGCGGUGAAAUGCGUAGAUAUCGAGAGGAACACCUGCGGCGAAGGCGGGUUGCUGGGCUGACACUGACGCUGAACUGCGAAAGCUAGGGGAGCGAACGGG